CGUGACGACUUUUCAAUAGAGACAGAAAGGCCCUCGAUAGAAGAGCAGGGUUCCACCUUCAGGUAUUUGGGACUCUGUUGAAGGUGUGGGUCCCCGCGGUGGGGGCUGAGCCGCCAUGCGGUGUGAGGAGACAAAGGGAUCCAGAUCCAAGCUGAUUCUUCCCCGCGUUGGGAGUCGGUGCCACGGCUGUCUCGUAGCUCUUCAUGCAACUCAUACCAGGUGCUUGAAGAAGGCGGAUUCUGAGGAUCUGUGUCCAGAUGGCUGCUGAAGCUUCUACUCCAGAUUCAAGGGCAGCAGUCCUCAGGAGACCGCAACACUUCACUCUCCUGGUGGAAAUUGAUGCCUGGCUCAAGUGUGAGUCCAGACCCACACAACUGGGAGACGAGGUCUUUAAUGAAGCGGAAAUUCCAUGCCACCUUGGAUGGAUCCCUCACAGGUCUAAAUGAGAGGACCACCCUCCUAGUGAUAAGGAGAAACACAAAAUCAUUUCCAAAAUCUUCCACAUAACUUGGCCACAGACUAAAGAGAAGGUAAAACCUUUAGUUGGCAACCAUGAGAGAACUAAGACUGAAACCAUACAAUUGUCACCUUGUCUUUCACUCUCUUUCUAGGAAUGAGGGCUCCUCAGGAGAAGGUCAUAGCCUCUUAGUGCUAUUCAAGACGAUGGAUGUGUGUGUCACAAGCUGCCUCAGUUUCCCAGGAAGAGAUGACUUUACCAUGAAUAACUCAUAGACACCACUGGGAUUUGAAGGAACAGGAAAGCAAAUAUGUAUGUUAUGAGUAUAUAUCCGGGACGCAUCUGGAGAGGAGGCACCAUUCUAUGACAACAGACCCCUUUGAGUCAGGCGGUAGGACUGCAGCUGCUGACCUUUCUUUGUAGAGAAGUUUAAUGAUGGUGGUGAGUUGGUGCCAUCUUGUGACAAAACCUGCACUGCAGCUUGAACUUCGCGGACAGGAAGGUAGAGGGAGGGGCUGUGGCCCAAACCAACCAGACAGAGCCUUCUGGAAAUCUGGAUGGAAAGGGGACAUUUCCAAGGUGCAGCUGAAAUCUCUGAAUAUUAUAUGGGCAACAAAUACAAGACUCUGAAAGGUGGAGAGGAAAAAGGCAGACCGACUCGGGACUUUGGGACCCAACUCUUCAUGGUGGUGGCCGAGUUCAUACCAGGUGCCUGAAGGAGGCAGAUUCUGAGGAUCUGUGUCCAGAUGGCUGCUGAAGCUUCUACUCCAGAUUCAAGGACAGCAGUCCUCAGGAGAGCCCGUCACCUUACAUCCCUGGUGGAAUCUGGUACCUGGCUGAACUAUUCCACUAUAAUUAAUUCCUGGGAUCUUGAGUGGGGAGAGAAGAGGAAGAAGCAUAUAUGAAUAGAGAGAGAGCACAAACAGGAGGAGCCUGAGAGGGAGAAGCAGCCCCCCACCAAGCCGAGCAGGGAGUCCAACAUGGGGCUCGAUCCGAGGACCCUGGGAUCACGAUCUGAGCCAAAGGCAGGUGCUUAACUGACUGAGCCACCCAGGGGUCCCUCAUCUGCUUUUCACCUCAUAUUUUUUCCAGCCUUGAAGAUCAUUACCUAGAUCUGCAUUUCAUUAAAGGUUCUAAAGGGGUGAUAUUCUAAUUCUAUAAUUUCUUCUGCAUUUGUUAGCUGGAAUUCUUCUAUAAGAGGAACUCCCCCUCAUCAACAAUUACACUAUGCUGAGGUAUGGUUUGCACAGCAAGGGGAGGAGGAAUGUUUAAUUCCUUUGCAGUAUUUCCACCUUUCAAAAUAAUGAGUUUCCCUAGGAUUAUUCAAAGGUAAAAUGUGGCAUGUUCUACACAAGUAGAGUCCAAUAAAAAUUUCUGUGGAAAUGAAAAAAUAUUCUGUAUGUACAUUUGCCAAUAAAGUAGCCAUUAGAUACCUGUUGAACUCCUGAAACCUGAGAUAGAGACAGCCAGCGAGAGAGGGAACACAAGCAGG